rnacentral:lncRNA from 1 species
UCAGGCUGCUAUGAAGAAAUACCCAAGACUGGGUACUUUCUCAACUUUCAAAUUGAGCUGUUCAGAAUGUGUGAAACAAUUUUAAGAUGAAGUCAAAGAUACUUGAAGCAGAAGCUGUAUCUGAGGAAGCUGUAUAUAAACCCAAUUUAAAGCAAGAUGAGAACUCAGCACAGGCACUGCAGCCACGGAGGUUUCCAGAUAGAAAAAUUGACACCCCUGAGAUCCCAUAACAUUUUGGGGACUCAUCUGGGAUCUGCGGAAGGAGCUUGACUCUUUUCAUUGGCAAUAAAUGGCGCCCCAACAUGGGGACUCAGAGAAGACUCAGGAGCCCCAAGCAGUUGUCCGAAAUCAGAGCUAAGGUACCAGCCAGGGUUAAUUGAAGACUCACCAAGUUCAAGCUUCUCCUUUGGUGGAACUGCUGAGAUUGAAGAACACUUGAAAAUUAUCAAGAAUGUACUGCGGAGUAUUGAAAUUGCAAGUUAUCAUCAAAGGAAGCUAUGAAUUCUCCCCUUCAAAUUUUAUGUUGAAAAGUAACCUCCAAUGUUGGAACUGAGCCUAGUGGGCGGUGAUUUCGUCAUGUGGGCAGAUUCCUCGUGAAUGGAUUGUGGCUGUCCUCACCUUA